AUCUCGAAAUUUUGACUUUUUUCUCGACAUUUUGACUUUUUUCUCGAGAUUGUACUUCAACAUUAAUCUCGAUAUUUCGCCUUUUUCUCGACAUUUCGACUUUUUUCUCAACAUUUCGACUUUUUCUCAACAUUUCGCCUUUCGCCAUUUGCCUUCAUUCUAAUACAAGGCUCUUCAUUUUUUGCGGCUCCAGACAUAUUUGUUUUUUGUGUUUUUGUUCCAAUAUGGCUCUUUCAACCGCUUGGGUUGCCGACCCCUGGUUCAAACAUACAGCGGGAACGGUAAUGGGAUUUUUAUCUGACUAUAUUUAUAUACGAUGUUUAUAUCACUGUACAACGCUGUACAUUACGAGACGUUUCUUUAUUAUAUUUUAACGUUACAGUCAGCUGUUCGGUCUCUCUCUACAUCCCGUGUGUCUGUCCAUUGAGCUGUUACGCCGAGAGCGCCCCCUGCAGGUUUGGAGCACUUCCGAUUGUAGUGACCGGUUAUGAAGCGUUUUUCUUUUGAAGAUGGUUUCUUGUUUUAUAUUGUUUUGUGCUUUGCAUUGUUUCUCUAUUUGCAGCGCGUUUGUUGAUGCUGCAUUUGUCUUUGUUUUUUGCAGCAUGUUUUUUUCAUUUGCACCACGUUCCUCUUUUUGAACCUCGUUUUGAGUUUGUGAAUUUGAAUCAUUUCUGUACUUGAAGCCGUUUUCCUUAACUGAGACGCAUUAAGCCGUUGCAGUGUGUUUGGCCCUUCUCGGCCACCGUACAAGGUUGCUAAAUCUUGAUAAUAAUAUCUGUGAAACAUGUUCUUUAAGCGGUUCUGACUUACUUUUAUUGCAAACGACACGCGCCUGCAUCGGUAGAAGUAGUUUCUUUUAAACUUUACAUGACAAGUAGACAGAAUAUCUGGAAAAAUGUUCAAAGUAGAGAGUGUUGGAGAGUCAUUGGUGGGGGGUAAGAGGGCAGGACACACCCUGGACGAGACAAGUCACCAGUCCAUGUGGGAGGGCGUAAACACAACGCCAAGAGGCAAAGACAUAAGCAAUGGCUGCUGCAAGUUCACCUGGAAGGAAUUUUAAAACCAUUUCUGAGUCCAAAGUUCUGUAGUGAGAAAGAUUAUUUAAUAUUUGAAGCGUUCAAAAUAGUUCACCGGUCUUCCCAGAAGUGGAUUCACAAGCAAAUUCGUCCAACCAGUGCUUAGAGAAAUGCAAAAAAAACAAGACAAGAGCUCCAUCUCAGACACUACAGCCCUAAAUAAGCAGAUAAAAUGUUAAAGUCCAUGUUAGCAUAAUUAGAAAAGACUGAGGGGGGUGGGUUUACUUGGGAGGAUUGCCAGGAGACGACCUCUUCUCUUUAAAAAAAACUCCAUACAUCUGGACAUGUGAGGCCGAGGUCACCUUUCCUUUGGUAGUUCCUCUCAGAGUUUACUGUCAGGGUUGGACGGAGACUUUGGGCCAAUCCCAAUACACCCCCUACUUUCUACCACUAGCCCUCCCUCACUACCACUAGCCCUAAAAAAGAAGCCACAGAUUUUAGGGCACUUGAAAUCUUCCCAGGGCCCUGUCCCAAUACUCCCACUACUCCUACUUUCAGCACCACCCCUAAAAUCAGGAAGCUGAGAGCCAAAAGCUGUUUUAAUUUCUGCUGUAGCGCUGUUACUAUGCCACUUUAUUGAGUUUUAAUAUUUUUUCAGGCGUAAAAGUAACCGUUAAGAUCCCCAACCUGGGCUCAGUUUAUCCAAAUAACACCUGUUAAGAAAUUUGAUCCGAUGUUUUCGGAGAUGAUAAGAGAACAGACGUGAUCGCGCUGCGCCGUCGUUCCGGGGGAGAAACCUGUAGCUCUGUGGAGAAUUACAACUGGCUGAAAUAAAUCAUUUAGGAAGAUAAAUGUUGGUUUAAUAGAUGAAAUCUAACAGUUGUAGCUACGCCUGUUGAUGAUUUAUGGCUCUGCGUUGAUGUAACGCGGAACCAUAAAUCAGCCUUUAUUCUGGCGAGGUUUGAAAAAGACUUCGAAAAAACGGGCAAACGAGUGAUUAUAUACAUUCACUGAGUGAAUAUUAUGAAAGUAAAAUAUAUAUUUCUCGCUAGAAAUGUAAUCAAAAUGCAUUUUUAUGCAGAAACUAACUCAAAAUAUUGAUUUUAUUCACUAAAAAAUAAGAAAUGUCCGCCAUGUUUUUUUUUUUUAUUCAGUCCGCAAAUGACGACAAAAAGCAUUCUGGGAAAUUUUUCUAGCCCACGGUCAGCUAGUGUGCAUCUGAAAUCCCUCGAUCCGUAGGGACAGAUUCAUAGCCACUACACUACUUUUCUUCACUCCCCCUAGGUGAAAAGAGGAAUUGGGACACCACUACCCUCACAGGAACGCGGAAAAUUUAGGGGUAGGGCUGAAAAGUAGGGGAAGUGGGAGUAUUGGGACAGGGCCUUUGACUGCAAAGAUACAACACGUGGUCACUCCAGGACGUUCUCGAAGUCUCCUUGAAGACUCUCAGUUUUCUUGCUGAAAUGAAAACCGUCACCUCAGUCUUAUUUCAUUCAUGCUCCUAUAUCGUUCGACAUCAAUCUUCUCGUCACAGAAGAAGAAAAACAAGAAAAAUCUCCCUGCAGAAUGAUGCUGCCAUCCCCAUGUUGUCCAGAUUCAUGUUAGUGGCUGUAGACGUAACCACGGAAACAGCCAGAGCACAAACACACUGUGAUUCACAUCCAACCGGCGGCUUGUAGCUGAAACAUUGAAAACACUAUCUGUUUUUUUUUCUUCUUUUGAGUGAAUGAAUCUUUAUAUUGACAGAUAUUUAUCUAAGUGAAUUCAUUUGUAUUUGGGUUUAUGUUGUCAGUGGAAUAAGUGGAGAAAGAUCUUGAUGCUUUUUUUUUUUCUUUCAUAAUAUAUAUCGUGCAGAGUUUAUCGGCGAAACCUCCAGACUUCGAUUUAAUAAGUUCAAGUCAGCUUGAAAACACAUUGCAGAAACGUUUGAAAGCAUAUAUCCAACUGCUGUAAAGUUGCACAUUGUAAAAUAGUUUUGUCUGUCCCAGAAUAAAGUUAUAUUUAUUCAA